rnacentral:rRNA from 1 species
GAGUUUGAUCCUGGCUCAGGAUGAACGCUAGCGGGAGGCUUAACACAUGCAAGUCGAGGGGUAACGAUUGGGAUUUCGGUUCCAAGGCGACGACCGGCGCACGGGUGAGUAACGUAUGCAACCUACCUCAAACAGGGGGAUAGCUCAGGGAAACCUGGAUUAAUACCUCAUAAUAUUUAGAUUUGGCAUCAGAUUUAAAUUAAAACUCCGGUGGUUUGAGAUGGGCAUGCGUGACAUUAGCUAGUUGGUAAGGUAAUGGCUUACCAAGGCUACGAUGUCUAGGGGUUCUGAGAGGAUGAUCCCCCACACUGGUACUGAGACACGGACCAGACUCCUACGGGAGGCAGCAGUCAGGAAUAUUGGUCAAUGGACGAAAGUCUGAACCAGCCAUGCCGCGUGCAGGAAGAAUGCCCUAUGGGUUGUAAACUGCUUUUAUGUAGGAAGAAACCCCCUGACGUGUCAGGGGCUGACGGUACUAUACGAAUAAGCACCGGCUAACUCCGUGCCAGCAGCCGCGGUAAUACGGAGGGUGCAAGCGUUAUCCGGAUUUAUUGGGUUUAAAGGGUCCGCAGGCGGGAAAUUAAGUCAGUGGUGAAAGCCUACAGCUCAACUGUAGAACUGCCAUUGAAACUGAUUUUCUUGAGUAUAGUUGAAGUGGGCGGAAUGUGUCAUGUAGCGGUGAAAUGCAUAGAUAUGACACAGAACACCGAUAGCGAAGGCAGCUCACUAAACUAUUACUGACGCUCAUGGACGAAAGCGUGGGGAGCGAACAGGAUUAGAUACCCUGGUAGUCCACGCCGUAAACGAUGAUUACUCGUUAUUGGCGAUAUAAUGUCAGUGACUAAGCGAAAGUGAUAAGUAAUCCACCUGGGGAGUACGAUCGCAAGAUUGAAACUCAAAGGAAUUGACGGGGGCCCGCACAAGCGGUGGAGCAUGUGGUUUAAUUCGAUGAUACGCGAGGAACCUUACCAGGGCUUAAAUGCAGAACGACAGAUUUGGAAACAAGUCCUUCUUCGGACGGACUGCAAGGUGCUGCAUGGUUGUCGUCAGCUCGUGCCGUGAGGUGUCAGGUUAAGUCCUAUAACGAGCGCAACCCCUACUGUUAGUUGCCAGCGAGUAAUGUCGGGGACUCUAGCGGGACUGCCGGCGUAAGCCGCGAGGAAGGUGGGGAUGACGUCAAAUCAUCACGGCCCUUACGUCCUGGGCUACACACGUGCUACAAUGGUGCGGACAAAGAGCAGCCACCUGGUGACAGGGAGCUAAUCUCUAAACCGCAUCUCAGUUCGGAUUGAAGUCUGCAACUCGACUUCAUGAAGCUGGAAUCGCUAGUAAUCGCGCAUCAGCCAUGGCGCGGUGAAUACGUUCCCGGGCCUUGUACACACCGCCCGUCAAACCAUGGAAGCUGGGAGUGCCUGAAGUCGGUCACCGUAAAGGAGCCGCCUAGGGUAAAACUGGUAACUGGGGUUAAGUCGUAACAAGGUAGCCGU